rfam:Cucumis sativus cultivar 9930 chromosome 7, whole genome shotgun sequence.
AUACCUUUCUCGGCCUUUUGGCUAAGAUCAAGUGUAGUAUCUGUUCUUAUCAGUUUAAUAUCUGAUACGUGGGCCAUCGGCCCACAUGAUAUUAAAUUUAUUUUUCUAGGGGGAGGGUCCAUCUCAAUAGCUUGCUAUUGGGGCCCUUGAGCGUUGCCCUUGCGUUGCACUACUGUUUGGGCCUUGGCGCACCCCUC